rnacentral:rRNA from 1 species
UGAGUCGAUUUCCGAAUGGGGAAACCCAACUGCACAAGCAGUUACUGUUAACUGAAUACAUAGGUUAACAGAGCAAACCGGGGGAACUGAAACAUCUAAGUACCCCGAGGAGAAGAAAUCAACCGAGAUUCCGGUAGUAGCGGCGAGCGAACCUGGAUUAGCCCUUAAGCACUCGGUGAAGUAGGUGAACAAGCUGGAAAGCUUGGCGAUACAGGGUGAUAGCCCCGUAACCGACGCUUCAUCGAGCGUGAAAUCGAGUAGGGCGGGACACGUGAUAUCCUGUCUGAAUAUGGGGGGACCAUCCUCCAAGGCUAAAUACUCCUGACUGACCGAUAGUGAACCAGUACCGUGAGGGAAAGGCGAAAAGAACCCCUGUGAGGGGAGUGAAAUAGAACCUGAAACCGUGUACGUACAAGCAGUAGGAGCACCUUCGUGGUGUGACUGCGUACCUUUUGUAUAAUGGGUCAGCGACUUAUAUUCAGUGGCAAGGUUAACCGUAUAGGGGAGCCGUAGCGAAAGCGAGUCUUAACUGGGCGCUCAGUCUCUGGAUAUAGACCCGAAACCGGGUGAUCUAGCCAUGGGCAGGUUGAAGGUUGAGUAACAUCAACUGGAGGACCGAACCGACUAAUGUUGAAAAAUUAGCGGAUGACUUGUGGCUAGGGGUGAAAGGCCAAUCAAACUCGGAGAUAGCUGGUUCUCCCCGAAAGCUAUUUAGGUAGCGCCUCGGACGAAUACUACUGGGGGUAGAGCACUGUUAAGGCUAGGGGGUCAUCCCGACUUACCAACCCUUUGCAAACUCCGAAUACCAGUAAGUACUAUCCGGGAGACACACGGCGGGUGCUAACGUCCGUCGUGGAGAGGGAAACAACCCAGACCGCCAGCUAAGGUCCCAAAGUAUUGCUAAGUGGGAAACGAUGUGGGAAGGCUCAGACAGCUAGGAUGUUGGCUUAGAAGCAGCCAUCAUUUAAAGAAAGCGUAAUAGCUCACUAGUCGAGUCGGCCUGCGCGGAAGAUGUAACGGGGCUAAGCAAUACACCGAAGCUGCGGCAAUGCCUUUUAGGUAUUGGGUAGGGGAGCGUUCUGUAAGCCGUUGAAGGUGGUCUGUAAGGGCUGCUGGAGGUAUCAGAAGUGCGAAUGCUGACAUGAGUAACGACAAAGGGGGUGAAAAACCUCCUCGCCGGAAGACCAAGGGUUCCUGUCCAACGUUAAUCGGGGCAGGGUGAGUCGACCCCUAAGGUGAGGCCGAAAGGCGUAAUCGAUGGGAAACGGGUUAAUAUUCCCGUACUUCUGACUAUUGCGAUGGGGGGACGGAGAAGGCUAGGUGGGCCAGGCGACGGUUGUCCUGGUUCAAGUGCGUAGGCUUAAGAGUUAGGUAAAUCCGGCUCUUUCUAAGGCUGAGACACGACGUCGAGCUGCUACGGCAGUGAAGUCAUUGAUGCCAUGCUUCCAGGAAAAGCCUCUAAGCUUCAGAUAGUCAGGAAUCGUACCCCAAACCGACACAGGUGGUCGGGUAGAGAAUACCAAGGCGCUUGAGAGAACUCGGGUGAAGGAACUAGGCAAAAUGGUACCGUAACUUCGGGAGAAGGUACGCUCUUGAUGGUGAAGUCCCUUGCGGAUGGAGCUGACGAGAGUCGCAGAUACCAGGUGGCUGCAACUGUUUAUUAAAAACACAGCACUGUGCAAAAUCGCAAGAUGACGUAUACGGUGUGACGCCUGCCCGGUGCCGGAAGGUUAAUUGAUGGGGUUAGCGCAAGCGAAGCUCUUGAUCGAAGCCCCGGUAAACGGCGGCCGUAACUAUAACGGUCCUAAGGUAGCGAAAUUCCUUGUCGGGUAAGUUCCGACCUGCACGAAUGGCGUAAUGAUGGCCACGCUGUCUCCACCCGAGACUCAGUGAAAUUGAAAUCGCUGUGAAGAUGCAGUGUACCCGCGGCUAGACGGAAAGACCCCGUGAACCUUUACUACAGCUUGGCACUGAACAUUGAACCUACAUGUGUAGGAUAGGUGGGAGGCUAUGAAGACGUGACGCUAGUUGCGUUGGAGCCGUCCUUGAAAUACCACCCUUGUAUGUUUGAUGUUCUAACUUAGCCCCAUUAUCUGGGGUGAGGACAGUGCCUGGUGGGUAGUUUGACUGGGGCGGUCUCCUCCCAAAGAGUAACGGAGGAGCACGAAGGUGGGCUAAUCACGGUUGGACAUCGUGAGGUUAGUGCAAUGGCAUAAGCCCGCUUAACUGCGAGAAUGACGGUUCGAGCAGGUGCGAAAGCAGGUCAUAGUGAUCCGGUGGUUCUGUAUGGAAGGGCCAUCGCUCAACGGAUAAAAGGUACUCCGGGGAUAACAGGCUGAUACCGCCCAAGAGUUCAUAUCGACGGCGGUGUUUGGCACCUCGAUGUCGGCUCAUCACAUCCUGGGGCUGAAGUCGGUCCCAAGGGUAUGGCUGUUCGCCAUUUAAAGUGGUACGCGAGCUGGGUUUAGAACGUCGUGAGACAGUUCGGUCCCUAUCUGCCGUGGGCGUUGGAAGAUUGAAGGGGGCUGCUCCUAGUACGAGAGGACCGGAGUGGACGAACCUCUGGUGUUCGGGUUGUGUCGCCAGACGCAUUGCCCGGUAGCUAAGUUCGGAAUUGAUAAGCGCUGAAAGCAUCUAAGCGCGAAGCGAGCCCUGAGAUGAGUCUUCCCUGAUACUUUAAGUAUCCUAAAGGGUUGUUCGAGACUAGAACGUUGAUAGGCAGGGUGUGUAAGCGUUGUGAGGCGUUGAGCUAACCUGUACUAAUUGCCCGUGAGGCUUAACCA